GGUGAGUUCUGUUUUAAAAAUGUCUCCCUCUACACAAGUGCCUCCCAGGGCUACCUUCUGGUCAGAGGGUUUUCCGAGCACCUCAGAAGGUAGCCAGGAGCUGGGACGUCCCCUAAAGGAGAAGGUCCUUGGCCCAGUGUCUGUGGGGUCCACCUGGGAGGAAUCGGUGACUGGUGCCAGGAAUUGGUGGGCUGCUUCUAAACGGAGAGGAGCACGGACUGGCAGGGCGUGGACCACCCACGCUGGCAUCUGGAACAGGAGCCCAAGGGCAGCGUGGCAAGGAUGAGGAGAUAACAGGAGACACAGGAGCCUGGGGCCGAGCAAGCUUUCCUGUCCACUGGUGAUCGUCUCCAUGUCCUGUCCAGCAACUGAGUCACACCCUGCUGCUCCAGGAGCACCAUCUCCAAGGAAUCAGUGGCGAAUGAAUGAAUGAUGCACAAAACAAAUGGAGCGAUCCCAUCUCCACCCUGGCUACACCUGCAGCUUGCCCACAACCUAAAAUGAUUCACCUUGUCAAGUCUCCCCAGAAACCAGUUUGGAUUCCCGGGGCAUUCCAGCCAGUAAAUGCUCUGAAGAUUCAUCUUUAUGGACUAGCGGCCCAGCCUUGCAGCAUCUCAGCUUCUCAAGAUGAAAAGGAAUUUUAUUUGGUGUGUUAGGCUGUGAGAGGAGCGGAUGCUGGCAGUUCACUCAGUUCUCCUAUUACCGCAUGUGCUCUUCCCCAGAGAGGAGAGACAAGGCCCCAGAGACGGCCUCAAGGCCGGGGCCCUCAGAAAAAUGAGCCUCCUCCCUUCCCUCCCGUUCCAAGGCCCGCCUAGCAGUGCUAGCCCUGGGAGGCUCCCCAAGACCGAGAGGGGUGGGGAUGGGAGUUGACCACAUCCCAGCUCAAGUGUCUCAGAUGGUCCAUGUUAAGGACCCCAACCGGGGUCAGGGAAGAGGGACCAGGGAUCCAGUAGAUUAAGACAGCUGUUGGGGGAAGGG
ensembl:lncRNA